rnacentral:rRNA from 1 species
AUGGAGGAGGAGAAAUCUGCGGACGAGUUGAGCCCGGACAGAUCUCUAGUGGCGGCGGCGGUUAGUCGACUCACCGACGACCUCAUCGUGGAGAUCCUCUCCCGGCUCCCCUUCCGGUCCGUCUGCCGUUUCAAGUGCGUCUCUAAGCCCUGGCGCGACCUCAUCGCCCACCCCGCCCACCGCAAGAAGCUGCCCCAGACCCUCGCCGGCGUCCUCUACACCACCAUCCCCGACGCCGGCGGCUUCCGCCACCACUUGGCCGGCGCCUACGCCGAGGGUCUUGAUCUCGACACUUCACUCACGUUCCUGCCACAUACGGAGUACAGGUACUUCGGGCUGGAGCACGCCUGCAAUGGUCUCCUCCUCUGCUCCUACUACCCGGACGCGGGAUCUCAAGUCCGUUUUGUCGUCUGCAAUCCGGCCACCCGGAGGUGGGCGGAGCUGCCCCCCGGCCCGCAGCCGCGGCCAAACACAUGCGGCUUUCACUGCCAGUUCCACCUGGCUUUUGAUCCAGCAGUCUCAUCCCAUUUUCACGUUUUUGAUUUCGAGCGCACUGACGACGUCGGCCUCACAGGAGUGAGCAUCUACUCAUCGAGAACCGGAGCCUGGACCCGGAGGGAUACUGGAUUGCUUGACAAUGUUGUACUGGAACAUCACAGUGUCCUGCUUCAUGGUAUGCUGCAUGUUGUGGGCAACCGGCGUCGGACCAACAGCAACAACACUUGGGAAGACACUACUGUGCUGGUGGCCGUGGACAUGGAGGGCAAGGUGUGGAAGACCAUCUCCAUGCCACGCGGACAGUUCUAUUAUAGGGUUGGGUGGUCACAGGGUUGCCUGCACUAUGCUACUAUAUCUCCAGUUCCUCUCACUGCCAGCAACGACGACGAUGAAGAUUCACUCAAGAUGGCUGAAGAGGUUGCGAUCUGGCGCCUUGAGGAUUAUGAUACCCAACAAUGGGCCCUGAAGCACAGUUUCAGAAUCGAUGAGGUGCUGAACCUAGCUGAGGUGGAGUACCAGCUGGUUGGGUUCCAUCCCGAUCGUGACAUCUUCUUCUUUGUCAGCAUGGGUCUUUUUGAUGGCGAUGCACGAGAUGCGGCUUCAUUGCUGUCGUGGGACAUGCGACGUCACCAACUCUCAAGUGUGCUCGAUCUCGAGAAAUGCAGUGUCGGGCCAUAUCGGCCUUAUGUUCCUCUCUUCUCAUCAGAGCCACUAGCAGAUGCAGAUGGGCACUAA